ACAGAGACCACCCUGGAGAUUUUUAACACCUAUUAACAACUUGGAACGUUUCUCAACGCAGUGUUCUGAUUGUUCGUCUGGGUGGCCGCAAUUCCUAUGGACAACCACGAGGUGGCAGCCAUCAUGUACGCAUAAACGCAGGCAGCGGUGUUUGGGCAUGAAUCUCCUGGAACUAAAAUCGGAUACAGAAACUUCCGAACACC